UGGGGUUCAUGCAGGCACCCCCAUCAGACGGCGCGCCGUCCAAGCUCUGC
rnacentral:ncRNA from 1 species